CCCCUCAAAACCCUAACACCUCUCAAAUCAUCAAAUUAAGAAGAAAAUUGAAGGUCAAUCGAAUGCAUGUGAUCAAUUCCUUAGUCAUCUAAGGGUUUCCCAUCAUGGGUAUAGGAAUCAUGUCAAGACGGACUCAAGCAUAAAAGGAUAACGGGUCAAGAAAAGGGCGAGGAAUCGGAUACGAGCACGGACGCAUAAGGUUGUACGAAUCACGGAUUAACCUCACAAGGAGUAGCGAUCGAAGACCGAGUCACAAGAUAGAUUGUACGGGAAUGUUUACAUAUGUAAUUUAGUAAUGAUAAGUUAU
rnacentral:lncRNA from 1 species